UGUGCACAAAGAUCGGGUUAGCAAAUUUUAGCUGGUUAUAUUUACAGAUUAAAAACAAAAAUGUGAUAAUACUUAAUCCCUUGCUUAAAAAGGACCAAAAAUAAAAAAAUAAUUCCAGUUAGUACUUUCAAGGUGUGAACAGAAAAACAUGAUCAGUGAGUUGUAGAAGUUCAAAGUUCU